CCUGUCCACUGCCUGCU
rnacentral:misc_RNA from 1 species